GACCAAGGAAGGCACCCCACGGCUAUGGGGAAAUUAGCCUGAGACUUAGCUUUCAUUAUCACUGUCUCCCAGGGUGUGCUUGUCGAAGAGAUAUUCUGCCGAGCCAGAUUCGGGCGCUCCCAUCUUGCGCAAGUUGGUCACGUGGUCACUCAAUUCUUUGAUGGCUUUCACCUGCUCAUUCAGGGCACUAAUAUACACAUGAUGAUACUUAAUUCUCUCAGAAAACCUUUGGCAAAGACACUUUCUACAUCUUGAAGGCAAGGAAUCUGAAUCUUGAAGAGAUUAAAUGAAUUGUCCAAAGUCACGUGGGGGUUUGGGAGAAGGAAAAUCAUGAACACACAUUCUUCUACUCUGGAGAAGUGGGGAAGGUGACCUGGGAAACCAUCUGAAAGGGAGCAGGAUGGAUUCUAUAAAAUAUAGAGUGUUCAAUGAAAACAACCUGAUGCUCCUCCCAGUACCAUCACAUUUUUCUAGCUGCAUAUCCUUAGGUAAGUCAAUGUCUGAAUUUCAGUUUCCUCACUGUUAAAUGGGAUAAUAAGCUUUACCUUACAGGAUUA
rnacentral:lncRNA from 10 species